rnacentral:rRNA from 1 species
GACGAACGCUGGCGGCGUGCUUAACACAUGCAAGUCGAACGGAAAGGCCCUGCUUUUGUGGGGUGCUCGAGUGGCGAACGGGUGAGUAACACGAGUGUAACCUGCCCUUGACUUUGGGAUAACUUCAGGAAACUGGGGCUAAUACCGGAUAGGAGCUCCUGCUGCAUGGUGGGGGUUGGAAAGUUUCGGCGGUUGGGGAUGGACUCGCGGCUUAUCAGCUUGUUGGUGGGGUAGUGGCUUACCAAGGCUUUGACGGGUAGCCGGCCUGAGAGGGUGACCGGCCACAUUGGGACUGAGAUACGGCCCAGACUCCUACGGGAGGCAGCAGUGGGGAAUAUUGCACAAUGGGCGGAAGCCUGAUGCAGCGACGCCGCGUGCGGGAUGACGGCCUUCGGGUUGUAAACCGCUUUCACCUGUGACGAAGCGUGAGUGACGGUAAUGGGUGAAGAAGCACCGGCUAACUACGUG